rnacentral:rRNA from 1 species
UGGGGAAUAUUGGACAAUGGGCGCAAGCCUGAUCCAGCCAUGCCGCGUGAGUGAAGAAGGCCUUCGGGUUGUAAAGCUCUUUGUUGGGGAAGAAAGCUUCUGGUUAAUACCCGGGAGUCCUGACGGUACCCAAAGAAUAAGCACCGGCUAACUUCGUGCCAGCAGCCGCGGUAAUACGAAGGGUGCAAGCGUUACUCGGAAUUACUGGGCGUAAAGCGUGCGUAGGUGGUUCGUUAAGUCUGAUGUGAAAGCCCUGGGCUCAACCUGGGAACUGCAUUGGAUACUGGCGAUCUGGAGUGCGGUAGAGGGUGGCGGAAUUCCCGGUGUAGCAGUGAAAUGCGUAGAUAUCGGGAGGAACAUCCGUGCGAAGGCGGCCACCUGGACCAGCACUGACACUGAGGCACGAAAGCGUGGGGAGCAAACAGGAUUAGAUACCCUGGUAGUCCACGCCCUAAACGAUGCGAACUGGAUGUUGGGUGCANCUUGGCACUCAGUAUCGAAGCUAACGCGUUAAGUUCGCCGCCUGGGAAGUACGGUCGCAAGACUGAAACUCAAAUGAAUUGACGGGGUCAUA